rnacentral:lncRNA from 1 species
AGUGUCUUUAGCCAAAUCUGAAUUAAUCUGUUCAGAAUGAACAAGCAGAAUAGUCUUUGGAUUUGAUCCAAAUCCCUGAAGCACUUUGGGAAUGAGAAUGGCUAUACCAGACAGAGAGACCCUGGCGACUUAUGAUACUGCAGAACACAACAGGCACUUCAGAUUGGUCCCAUUAAGUUGAGGGAGAGCAGUGAUAUUGAGCAGUCAGCUAA